rnacentral:rRNA from 1 species
UCCACGCCGUAAACGAUGAAUACUAGGUGUUGGAUGAGUUAUCGUUCAGUGCCGCAGCUAACGCAUUAAGUAUUCCACCUGGGGAGUACGAUCGCAAGGUUGAAACUCAAAGGAAUUGACGGGGGCCCGCACAAGCAGUGGAGCAUGUGGUUUAAUUCGAUGCAACGCGAAGAACCUUACCUAGGCUUGAAAUGCAGUGGACCGGUUGUGAAAGCAACCUUCUCUUCGGAGCC